UUUGGCAGCAAAUAGGUAUUGAUGUUGUGACGAUGCCAACUAGUAAAAUGGGCAACAAAUACAUUAUCACUUGUGUGGAUUAUUUUAGUAAGUGGCCAGAAGCAGCAGCUUCUAAAGACAAGAGUGCGGUUUCAGUGGCAAACUUUAUUUUUGAAACAAUAUGUCGAUUUGGGUGUGCAAAAGUAGUGAUAACAGAUCAAGGAAGGGAGUUUGUUAAUAGCAUUAAUGAGGAAUUGAUGUCACUU